UAUCUUUUAGUGUAAAGAAGCACAUAAUUUUUUGAAAAUUAAGGUAUUUUUUAAAGAUAA
rnacentral:tRNA from 1 species